rnacentral:piRNA from 1 species
UAGGUAUUCGAGGGUACAAACCCAUGGC